rnacentral:misc_RNA from 1 species
GAUUAGUGAGAUGUAUGGUUACUCAUUUGGUGCUGCAGAGUUGAAUCUGCGACAUGUCAUAAGUGACGAGAUUCUGAUAUACCCAGGAUAUGUUCCUAAGCCUGGUGUUAAUUAUAGAGUCUUCCACUAUGGCUUGGAAUAUAGGGUUGGUAAGUGGAGUUUUGACAAAGCAAACUGGAGACACACCGACUUGGUUAACAAAUGUUGGGCUAAGUUUCCUGAUCCUCCUGAUCCAUCAUCACUUGAUCAAACUGACAACAAUUCCCUACAGCGCGACUUGCUUAGCGUAGAAUGUGCAACAACGUUGAAUGAAGCUCUUCGGUUGCACCACGAGAGGAGAAAAUGCCCAGAUCCUAACACUAUUUCCACACCCAAACAUGACAGAGUAAAUCAGGACAGAGUCGAUGAAACUAGAACCAAUGCUGAAAC